UCAUUGCUGGAACAAACGCCCUCACGGGUGCUACCCAGAAACCCUUUGUGAAUUAUACCUAAAAAACUGUUGCCUCGGCUUUUGGUCGGCUUCCUUGGGAAGUCCCUUCGCAAGAAGGAGCAGACCGGCCGGUGGCCCUAUAAACUCUUGUUUUUGUAACAUCAUCUGAGUAAAAAAAUAACUAAAUGAAUCAAAACUUUCAACAACGGAUCUCUUGGUUCUGGCAUCGAUGAAGAACGCAGCGAAAUGCGAUAAGUAAUGUGAAUUGCAGAAUUCAGUGAAUCAUCGAAUCUUUGAACGCACAUUGCGCCCGGUGGUAUUCCACCGGGCAUGCCUGUUCGAGCGUCAUUUCAACCCUCAAAGCCCUGGCUUUGGUGUUGGAGGAAUACUUGUAACAGGGUACCCUCUGAAAUUUAGUGGCGGGCUCGCUAGAAUUUUGAGCGUAGUAAUUUUACCUCGUUUUUAAAAGACUAGUGGGACUUUCUAGCCAUAAAACCCCCCCAACUUUCUGAAAUUUGACCU
rnacentral:rRNA from 1 species